CCGUGCUGCACCAGUACGCGGCUUUUCGUUUUUAAGGUCGGACUACGGUAAGCCCUCAUUGGGUCUUACGCAAUAGGAACUCAUGAACCCCGCCAGGUCCGGAAGGAAGCAACGGUAAGUGACAAUUCCUAUGUGCCGUAAGGUAGCCUGAUGCGGAUACUGCCGUAGCCCGACGUUGAAAACGGAUCGCCUGUUGCAGCGCGG
rfam:Thermosinus carboxydivorans Nor1 ctg55, whole genome shotgun sequence.